rnacentral:lncRNA from 1 species
AAAAAAAGUUAGUAUACUUGAAGACAGAUUGUAUUUUUUCAUGCUAAUAUACUGACAUUAUUAAAGCAACUAAGAGAAAGUUACUUACCGCAAUGCAUUGAUCCCACCAAGCAUCGGACAUCUCCAACCUUCCCAUAGCAUCAUAGACAAGCCCGGUUCUAUUAUGAGUGAGUUUCUUAAACUUGACGUAUGCUUUCCUACUAAUAUCAACCUUGUUCUUAAACCUAUCCCAUAUCCAUCUCUUACUAAAUUUCUCUUCAAACUUCUUUAUGAUGAACUCUCUUCCAACUACAUUCAUGCCACUCCUUGGUCUGUUUCCUUUUCGUUUCUCAUCGGCAUAAAGAGUAAAAAAAUACCAAACUUCUUCAUCGGUCCAGUUCUAAAUAACAAGUCUCAUCAAUACACAAACAAGCUAAACUAGCAGGAAAAAAAAAUCACAAAACAUCUAAGAAACUAAAACUGCAUAAGACACUUACAAUAUCAUUAUUAGCCAUUCUUCUUGUCUAGUUGUUGUCUUGUUGUGACUUAUGUCAAAACCUGA